UUGGGGAUGCUUCGAGGCUGAGUAGGCAAGAAAAGAACUCAGUGAAGGAUGAAAGGUGAAAGCUCUUGCAAAACUCUCCAAGUUGAAAGAUGUGGAAUCACCUAAACUGCCAUUAUGGGUUCUGUGGUGAACAUUUUUUUAAAAAAGGGACAUGAUUCAAAAGAAUCAAUGAAAUAACAGAAUUCUUGCACUAGAUGGAUGAAAAAGAGGAGUCAUGUAAACCUAAGAAAAAUUGAGCUGUUUGUUUCAAGUGCAUCCAGUAAAUAUAGAGGAGAGUGGUACUUGGCUUGAAGCACUGGUGAUGAAAGAAGCUGCAUUACAUUUUUCUGGGAUUGCUAGUCCAGAAAGAUUCUCAACUGCCAUGUGAUACUAAUGAGCAGCAUGUUGAGUGACUGGAAAUUAAUUUGAAUUAAAUGGAGUUGAUACUCAAUAAAUACUUUUAUUUGUACUAUAA